GGAAGUUGCAGUCACAACAACACUUGUGACAUCACAGAAGAAUCUAGUGCUCUCCAGGUUAGAAGAGAGUUUUCAGGGAAUGCCUAACAAUGAUGUCACUGAAAACUGUCAUGGCCUACCUGAUGAACACCUUUCCUUACAUUGACCAGAUUCAAGUUUGCACUUUAUAGGACCUUUUCUUCUUGCGAAAAAGUGUAAAGGUCAUGAGUUCUCAGGAAAACAACUGUGCCCUUCACAACACUUGGCUUUUGGAAUAAAGAAAUAAAUGAUAUAAA